GAUGAAGAACGUAGCGAAAUGCGAUAAGUAGUGUGAAUUGCAGAAUUCAGUGAAUCAUCGAAUCUUUGAACGCACAUUGCGCCCCUUGGUAUUCCAUGGGGCAUGCCUGUUCGAGCGUCAUUUGUACCUUCAAGCUUUGCUUGGUGUUGGGUGUUUGUCUCGCCUUUGCGUGUAGACUCGCCUUAAAAUAAUUGGCAGCCGGCGUAUUGAUUUCGGAGCGCAGUACAUCUCGCGCUUUGCACUCAUAACGACAGCGUCCAAAAGUACAUUUUACACUCUUGACCUCGGAUCAGGUAGGGAUACCCGCUGAACUUAAGCAUAUCAAUAAGUGGAGGA
rnacentral:misc_RNA from 1 species